rnacentral:tRNA from 1 species
GCCCGGGUGGCCCAGUCGGUUGGGCGUCCGACUGCGGCUCAGGUCAUGAGCUGGUGGAGUUCGAGCCCCACCUCGGGCC